rnacentral:rRNA from 1 species
AGAAUUUGAUCUGGUUCAGGAUAAACGCUGGCGGCGUGCUUAACACAUGCAAGUCGAACGGAGUAUCCUUCGGAAGAUCAAAGAGCUUGCUCGGAGAGAUCUUGGAAUACUAGUGGCGGACGGGUGAGUAACGCGUGGGUAACCUGCCUCACACAGGGGGAUAACAGUUGGAAACGACUGUUAAUACCGCAUAAGCGCACAGUAUCGCAUGAUACAGUGUGAAAAACUCCGGUGGUGUGAGAUGGACCCGCGUCUGAUUAGCUGGUUGGUGAGGUAACGGCCCACCAAGGCGACGAUCAGUAGCCCGGCCUGAGAGGGUGUACGGCCACAUUGGGACUGAGACACGGCCCAAACUCCUACGGGAGGCAGCAGGUGGGGAAUAUUGCACAAGUGGGGGAAACCCUGAUGCCAGCGACGCCGCGUGAGUGAAGAAGUAUUUCGGUAUGUAAAGCUCUAUCAGCAAGGAAGAUAAUGACGGUACCUGACUAAGAAGCACCGGCUAAAUACGUGCCAGCCGCCGC